rnacentral:rRNA from 1 species
CACCUACGGGAGGCAGCAGUGGGGAAUAUUGCACAAUGGGGGAAACCCUGAUGCAGCAACGCCGCGUGGAGGAUGAAGGUCUUCGGAUUGUAAACUCCUUUGAUGAGGGACGAAAAAAAUGACGGUACCUCAAAAACAAGCCACGGCUAACUACGUGCCAGCAGCCGCGGUAAUACGUAGGUGGCAAGCGUUGUCCGGAAUUAUUGGGCGUAAAGGGCGCGUAGGCGGUCCUUUAAGUCAGAUGUGAAAACCCGAGGCUCAACUUCGGGCGUGCAUUUGAAACUGGAGGACUAGAGUGCAGGAGAGGUAAGUGGAAUUCCUAGUGUAGCGGUGAAAUGCGUAGAUAUUAGGAGGAACACCAGUGGCGAAGGCGACUUACUGGACUGUAACUGACGCUGAGGCGCGAAAGCGUGGGGAGCAAACAGGAUUAGAUACCCUGGUAGUCCACGCUGUAAACGAUGGAUACUAGGUGUGGGAGGUAUCGACCCCUUCCGUGCCGCAGUAAACGCAAUAA